AAAGAAUGCACCGGAUAUCACACAUUAUAUGGAUUAAGUGUUGAAGAGAACAUGAAUUGUAAUUCAGAUCUUGAAAAUUAAUAGGAUAAAAUCAAUGCAAGAAAAUUGAGUGUGUGUUUAUGGAAUAAUUAUCUCUGUCAUAUGAUCGUAGGAACUACAUAGUCAUUAACUUCAAAUAAUGAGUAUGCUUAGAGAUACAUUAACAGAUGCAAGUGAGUUGAACAUAUUUAACGCAAGACUUAACUUUGCCAAGUCUGAUUUAACUGAAAUUGCCAAGA